AUACGGAGGAUCCGAGCGUUAUCCGGAUUUAUUGGGUUUAAAGGGUGCACAGGCGGCCAUUUAAGUCAGCGGUUAAAUCGUGGGGCUCAACCCCAUUCUGCCGUUGAUACUGGGUGGCUUGAUUGCGGUCGAGGUUGGCGGAAUUCGUUGUGUAGCGGUGAAAUGCAUAGAUAUGACGAAGAACACCGAUUGCGUAGGCAGCUGACCAGACCGCAAAUGACGCUCAUGCACGAAAGUGCGGGGAUCGAACAGGAUUAGAUACCCUGGUAGUCCGCACAGUAAACGAUGAAUACUUGUUUUCGGCGAUAUAAUGUCGGAGGCAAAGCGAAAGCGAUAAGUAUUCCACCUGGGGAGUACGCCGGCAACGGUGAAACUCAAAGGAAUUGACGGGG
rnacentral:rRNA from 1 species